CCUGAUCAGUCAUUCUUUUUUCAGAUGCUUCACAUGAAAGGCAAUCAUCAAAUGAAGGAACAACCUUACUAUUCUUGAGCAAACAAAUGAUCUGAGGACCCCAAAAUGUCUUUUGCACCAAAUGAAGCACAUUUUAAGUGUAGUGUUACCAGAGCCACUCUGAUUGUGAAUGGAACUGUAAAUGCCUGAUGUAGGAAUGGAGAACAGAGCAGGCCAACAUGGGAAGCGA